rnacentral:rRNA from 1 species
UACGGAGGGUGCAAGCGUUAUCCGGAUUUACUGGGUUUAAAGGGUGCGUAGGUGGGCAGGUAAGUCAGUGGUGAAAUCUCCGGGCUUAACUCGGAAACUGCCAUUGAUACUAUCUGUCUUGAAUACCGUGGAGGUCAGCGGAAUAUGUCAUGUAGCGGUGAAAUGCUUAGAUAUGACAUAGAACACCAAUUGCGAAGGCAGCUGGCUACACGAAUAUUGACACUGAGGCGCGACAGCGUGGGGAGCAAACAGG